GACGAACGCUGGCGGCGUGCCUAAUACAUGCAAGUCGAGCGGAACUGGGGGAGCUUGCUCCUUCCAGUUUAGCGGCGGACGGGUGAGUAACACGUGGGCAACCUGCCCUGCAGAUCGGGAUAACUCCGGGAAACCGGUGCUAAUACCGAAUAGUUUGGCGCCUCUCCUGAGGCGCUACGGAAAGACGGUUUCGGCUGUCACUCCAGGAGGGGCCCGCGGCGCAUUAGCUAGUUGGUGGGGUAACGGCCCACCAAGGCGACGAUGCGUAGCCGACCUGAGAGGGUGACCGGCCACACUGGGACUGAGACACGGCCCAGACUCCUACGGGAGGCAGCAGUAGGGAAUCUUCCGCAAUGGACGCAAGUCUGACGGAGCAACGCCGCGUGAGUGACGAAGGUUUUCGGAUCGUAAAACUCUGUCGUGAGGGAAGAACACGUACCAACUAACUAUUGGUACCUUGACGGUACCUCACCAGAAAGCCACGGCUAACUACGUGCCAGCCGCCGCGGUAA
rnacentral:rRNA from 1 species